rnacentral:rRNA from 1 species
GACGAACGCUGGCGGCGUGCUUAACACAUGCAAGUCGAACGGAGUGGCGAACGGGUGAGUAACACGUGGGUGACCUGCCCUGCACUUCGGGAAAAGCCCGGGAAACUGGGUCUAAUACCGGAUAGUGUGGGAUGGGCCCGGGGCCUAUUAGCUUGGUGGUUGGGUAAUGGCCUACCAAGUCGGCGACGGGUAGCCGGCCUGGGCGGGUGGACGGCCACAUUGGGACUGAGACACGGCCCAGACUCCUACGGGAGGCAGCAGGGGGGAAUCUUGCACAAUGGGCGGAAGCCUGAUGCAGCGACGCCGCGUGGGGGAUGACGGCCUUCGGGUUGUAAACUCCUUUCACCAUCGACGCGGUAGAUGGAGAAGAAGCACCGGCUAACUACGUGCCAGCAGCCGCGGUAAUUC